ACCUGGGUGGCUUAGUUGGUUAAGUGUCUGACUUCGGCUCAGGUCAUGAUCUGGCAGUUCAUGGGUUCCAGCCCUGCCUUGGGUU
rnacentral:tRNA from 1 species